rnacentral:lncRNA from 1 species
CACGAACACCUUCAGCUUCCCCACCGGGUUGUCGUCAAGCACGCCGCCGGCGGCCCCUGCUCACAUCGUUCGUUCAUUCAGGUUAGUAAAUCGUCUCGCAUGCAGUUCUUUCUGCACAAGUACUGUUUGAAUGUUAAGCUUUUAUAACAUGCUGUAAUGAUUUGAACUGUCUUGAGCAAUGCAAUGAUCAGGGAAUUCGCCCUAGUACCCUACAUACUCUGAAAAGGUUCUUUCUUCAGGAAUAAACGAAUUCAUGUAGCUGAUAUUAUCAAUAUUCAAUGCACUGUGCUAAAAUAUGCAGAGUGGUCAGAUCUUUACAGAACAAGUUUCAGUACUAACAGGGUUUCAGAUUUCAGAAAAGGCAAACACAGAGAUGUUUCAGUUAAUGAUGCAAGAAAUCACUAGUGAUGGGUACAAUUGUUGGUGGAGUCGUUGCUUUCGGCAGUCCACCAACCACGAAAUUUGAACUUUAAUCAAUAAAAUACCGAUCCCUUUCAAGUGGUCUCUACUUUAACGAUACGUUGUUCUUAUCCCUUUCUUUAUCGGUACUAAUCUGGUCGUUAGCAUGUCCGGUUCAAGGGAAAAAAAAUCGUUUGAAAGCGCCAGUGGUCAGUUGAGUGAGUGGAUGGCCACCGCUCGAUCUAGCUGCCACUUAUCCUUUCUUUAUAGUUAUACCACUUCAAGCUCUUGCAUAGUUGCAUUGCAGGCCCUAAAAUGCAGCUAAUUAAAUUAAACCCAAUCUUGCUGGUGCCGCGCCACACUACAGUAGUUCUCCCCGCAAGAGAUGCCUAUUCUGGAAGCUGUUGCUUCGUGGACGCGUGACUGCGAAGAAGAUGGUACAGAGCUAGAGAUCUGAACCAUCAUCCACACUGAUGAUGAUGCGAUGCAAUGUAGGAUCAGGGAAAGCUACGAAGCAAAGCAAUGAAGCAUGAUGCAAUGCAAUGGCCGCUUCAAAACAAUUGAUGCAAUGCAAUGGUUUAAGCUUCACUUCAGCAACCAAUUAAUCUGUUGCAGAAAGCAAUGCUAAGCAAGCACUGCUUGAUCCAUUGCAGACGCAGGCAUUUUACUCCUACAGUAAUGCUAGUGGUUACUAGUUGCUGGCUUGCUGCUACCAGAGCAGGUACAGCUCUGUACAGUUGGUGUGAGGGCAGCGGCCACAUGGUGGAUCACAGGGGCGCGAGCCGCACACGGCAGCCGGUUAGAGACAGCCACCACGAUUGAUUGAUCCCAGAAGAGGCUGUUGAUUCCCAGCUGCGUGCGCGGCGGUGGAAGCCAGAGCCAAGCGGCGUCCGCCGGGGGUAGGGAGGGACCAUCGGAAUGCGGUGGCAGCGAGCACGAAACCCGGAUCAAAAUCGAAGCGUGAGCUGUCGGGCGCACGGAUCACAACCUCACAGGGCGGCGAGCCGCGAGCCAGCGCAACCAAUUCCGUCCAAACCAGGCGGCGGCGGCGGCGGCGGCAUUGCAGUUUGGAGGCGGCGGGACUGCCAAAUCUGAAUCUCGAGGGGGGCACCCUCGCGCGCCCGCCGGCCGCGAGCGAAUUCAAAAUCUAGGAGGAGGAUGCGAAGCGGGCGGCGCGUACCUGAGAUCCUUGCGCGCUCGUGCUGCUGCCGCUGCGGCGGCGCCGCCGCGGCGACGCAGGAGACGACGAGCAGAACCGCGGCGGCCGCCGCCGCGGCGGGCCACGGCCUCCGGCCCCGCCCCAUUGGCCUUGAUCCUGCCGCGGGCGCCGCCCCGGAGUUGACCGAAUCAAGCAGCUAGCGGCUAGCGCUCUCCCCUCCUGCUCGUGCUGCCGCUGCGGCCGUGCGUGUGGAGCUCGAGCGCCGGGCGGCAGCGAAGUGGUGCCGGGAUACUUGUCGCUGGGGAGCGCUUUGUCGUCGUCCUCCGCUGUGCCUGUGCUGGUAGGCUGUCGUUGUCAGGCCCCGAUGGCGCGGCCCGUGGAGGGGAGGGGAGUAGUAGAAUAGGAGGUGAGGAGGCGGGGUAGUCAAGGCCGCGGCGACGGCGAGCCAAUGGAGGGGGUGCAGCUGCGGAAUUGGAAGCGGAAUCUGCUGCUGGUGCUCUCGCACGCACGCAGGCACGCAGGGAGAGAGCGAGCUGGCGGGGGAAGAAGAGGAGAAAAGAAAAAGGAAAAGGAGGAGAGGGUGCAGCGCAGCAGCUACAUGGCUCGCACGCGGCGGGUGGCGUGAUACGAAAACAAGGGGGGCGCGCGGGGCGACCCGACCGACCGGGUCCGCGUCCGAGGCCAAACCAAUUGCUUCUUGCAAAGGCUUAUCGGCUCGGCAUGUGCUCGUGCUACGCAGUUGCUAGGAGCAGCAGGCAGGCCCAACUUGCGUCGCUAAUCAUGUGGCCAGGGCCAGGCUUGAGUAACCAAGUCACCCUACGCACCUGCGCUAAUCAUGUUUGCUUGCUACAGCGAUGCAGCCUCCUUUUGGGUACCGUUCCUGCUGUAUUUUUUUAAUUGUAAAGUCUGAUGAAUAAAAGCGAUAAUGUUAGAGAUGGGCUAACGAUUUUUUUUUUAUACGUUCGUAGAAAUGAGCUGCACGCGUUGGAGCUGGACACACGACGCCCCUCGAGAGCCAAACCUUUGCUGUAAACACGAAUCAGUGCAGCAAACCCUUGGCUCCCUGAGUAAUCGAGUCAGCAGCCAGCACAGGCUACGGCGAUCAUGUUUAGAUUCCAUGGCCGCUAAGACAGGAACGUAUUUUGAACGUAGUGCUGGACUGAAGCAUCUUUGGAAAUGGCUUUUAGAUUCCAUGUUUGU